rnacentral:rRNA from 1 species
GUGCUAUACAUGCAGUCGAGCGGACUUGAUGGAGUGCUUGCACUCCUGAAGGUUAGCGGCGGACGGGUGAGUAACACGUAGGCAACCUGCCCUCAAGACUGGGAUAACUACCGGAAACGGUAGCUAAUACCGGAUAAUUUAUUUCRCAGCAUUGUGGAAUAAUGAAAGACGGAGCAAUCUGUCACUUGGGGAUGGGCCUGCGGCGCAUUAGCUAGUUGGUGGGGUAAYGGCYCACCAAGGCGACGAUGCGUAGCCGACCUGAGAGGGUGAACGGCCYMACUGGGACUGAGACACGGCCCAGACUMMUACGGGAGGCAGCAGUAGGGAAUCUUCCGCAAUGGGCGAAAGCCUGACGGAGCAACGCCGCGUGAGUGAUGAAGGUUUUCGGAUCGUAAAGCUCUGUUGCCAAGGAAGAACGUCUUCUAGAGUAACUGCUAGGAGAGUGACGGUACUUGAGAAGAAAGCCCCGGCUAACUACGUGCCAGCAGCCGCGGUAAUACGUAGGGGGCAAGCGUUGUCCGGAAUUAUUGGGCGUAAAGCGCGCGCAGGCGGUUCUUUAAGUCUGGUGUUUAAACCCGAGGCUCAACUUCGGGUCGCACUGGAAACUGGGGGACUUGAGUGCAGAAGAGGAGAGUGGAAUUCCACGUGUAGCGGUGAAAUGCGUAGAUAUGUGGAGGAACACCAGUGGCGAAGGCGACUCUCUGGGCUGUAACUGACGCUGAGG